UGGGGAAUAUUGCACAAUGGGGGAAACCCUGAUGCAGCGACGCCGCGUGAAGGAAGAAGUAUCUCGGUAUGUAAACUUCUAUCAGCAGGGAAGAAAAUGACGGUACCUGACUAAGAAGCCCCGGCUAACUACGUGCCAGCAGCCGCGGUAAUACGUAGGGGGCAAGCGUUAUCCGGAUUUACUGGGUGUAAAGGGAGCGUAGACGGCGGUGCAAGCCAGAUGUGAAAGCCCGGGGCUCAACCCCGGGACUGCAUUUGGAACUGUAUAGCUGGAGUGUCGGAGAGGCAGGCGGAAUUCCUAGUGUAGCGGUGAAAUGCGUAGAUAUUAGGAGGAACACCAGUGGCGAAGGCGGCUUACUGGACGGUAACUGACGUUGAGGCUCGAAAGCGUGGGGAGCAAACAGGAUUAGAUACC
rnacentral:rRNA from 1 species